rnacentral:rRNA from 1 species
CGACUAAUGUUGAAAAAUUAGCGGAUGACUUGUGGCUGGGGGUGAAAGGCCAAUCAAACCGGGAGAUAGCUGGUUCUCCCCGAAAGCUAUUUAGGUAGCGCCUCGUGAAUUCAUCUUCGGGGGUAGAGCACUGUUUCGGCUAGGGGGUCAUCCCGACUUACCAACCCGAUGCAAACUACGAAUACCGAAGAAUGUUAUCACGGGAGACACACGGCGGGUGCUAACGUCCGUCGUGAAGAGGGAAACAACCCAGACCGCCAGCUAAGGUCCCAAAGUCAUGGUUAAGUGGGAAACGAUGUGGGAAGGCACAGACAGCCAGGAUGUUGGCUUAGAAGCAGCCAUCAUUUAAAGAAAGCGUAAUAGCUCACUGGUCGAGUCGGCCUGCGCGGAAGAUGUAACGGGGCUAAACCAUGCACCGAAGCUGCGGCAGCGACACUAUGUGUUGUUGGGUAGGG